GGCACUCUCCGGCUUUCUCAUUUCUGUGCCGCUAAUAGCUGCCAGUGGAUGCCUCAUCAUUUAAAUUUCUGUUCCUCUGAUUACUAACAACUUUGAGCAUCCCUCUCUUUCCUUUUCUCUGGCUGUGUGGUAUGCGGGAUCUUAGUUUCCCAAUGAGGGAUCAAACCCGCGCCCCCUGCAGUGGAAGCACAGAAUCUUAACCACAGUCCCCAGUGAGCGCCCUUUCAUGCAAUUAGUGAUUCCGCAGAGAUUAAUGCUCUUUCUCUUUAAGGUUUCAUGCUUUAGGUGACCAUAGGAGCAGCUCCAGAAUUUCCAAAUUUGAGGAAUUUAGAUCCUAAGCAAUUCCACUGGAAGGUGGGGCUAAAGAUGUGCUAGUGGCCGAAGCCACCCCAAGAAUCCUUUGUGACCAGCACCAGGGGCCUGUGCCUAAGUGCAUUGUGGACCAUGUGAUGGGCCAGAGACUAGUGGGAGCAGGCUUAGAUCUACAGGAAGUCAUUACUGCCCAUCAGCUUGCAGAACAGGAGCAGAGGAAGAGGCUUCCAGGCAACACAAAGAUGCAGCUACCAAUUGCACCCCUGGGACCAAAGUGGGGAGGGAUGUGGAAGGGUGGGGGGGAGAAGUACCUACAUCUCUCUCUCUCCCAUCCUCCUAUCUCCUGCUGACACCUUUCACUGACCAUAACCAAUCAGAAAUCAGAGGGCAAGGAGCUCACUCCAGCAGGAUGCAGACAAAGGACCACCGGACCAGAGACUCACCAAGAGGGAUGGAGAUGGGAGGGGAUACACAAACAGUGAAACCCUCACAAAGGUGUCUGUUGGCAUGAUUUCUUAACAGUUUUGACAACAGCAUCUUAAUGCUUACAAGUGGAAUAUCUCAAGCCAAGGCAAGUUUCCCCAGGUCAAACUAAAGCUGAAAUCACAAAGCAAAGGCGGUACUGAAGAGAGAAACUGAGCAGAGAGGGGAGGAGGAACCAUGAGCUCAGAAUAAGGCUUAUCAAAAGACGCCGAAUCUAGAGCCUAAGAGUGAGAACAAGCA
ensembl:lncRNA